rnacentral:tRNA from 2 species
CGGCUUGCGGCGAGGGCGCUUCGGGCGAGGCGGCGUCCGACGUCUCCGGCCGCGUCGUCGCGAAGGCGCCGCCGUGCGGUUCGGCCGCGCCGC